rnacentral:rRNA from 1 species
CCUACGGGUGGCAGCAGUGGGGAAUAUUGCACAAUGGGGGAAACCCUGAUGCAGCGACGCCGCGUGAGUGAAGAAGUAUUUCGGUAUGUAAAACUCUAUCAGCAGGGGAAAAAAUGACGGUACCUGAUUAAGAAGCACCGGCUAACUACGUGCCAGCAGCCGCGGUAAUGCGUAGGGGGCAGGCGUUAUCCGGAUUUACUGGGUGUAAAGGGGGCGUAGGCGGCAGCACAAGUCUGGAGUGAAAUGCCGGGGCUUAACCCCGGAACUGCUGUGGAAACUGGGCAGCUAGAGUGCAGGAGAGGUAAGUGGAAUGCCUGGUGUAGCGGUGAAAUGCGUAGAUAUUAGGAGGAACACCAGUGGCGAAGGCGGCUUACUGGA